AGGUAGUAAAAUUUUUAAAUUUAAACCAUAAAAUUAUGGCGGCAUUUUUUAUUAUUAGAGGAACUUGUUUUAUAAUAGAUAAUACACAAUAAAUUUUACUUAAUUUAUAAAUUUAUAUACCACCAUUAAGAAUAUAUUAUAUAAUUAUAUUCUAAAUAAAAUUCUAAAAAAAUUAGGUAAAGGUAUAAUUUAUAAUUAAGACAAAAUGCGUUACUUUAAAUAUAAUUUAAGGAAAAAUAUUAAAAAAUAAAUUAAAAAAGAAUUUAAAAGUAAUUUUUAAAUAAUAAUUAUAUAAGAAAAUUUUUUUAUUAAAAAUGUGU
rnacentral:rRNA from 1 species